rnacentral:rRNA from 1 species
CGGUCUGGUAAAUUCCUUGUGAAAUCGUCGUGCUUAACGCGACGGCGUGCAGGGAACACUGCCAGGCUUGGGACCGGAAGGAGUCAGAGGUAUGCCGUGGGGACCGGUAAAAUGGGAUAAUCCACGGUAGACCGCCGAUGGCGAAGGCAUCUGACCAGGACGGAUCCGACGGUGAGGAACGAAAGCCAGGGGAGCGAACCGGAUUAGAUACCCGAGUAGUCCUGGCCGUAAACGCUGCGUGCUAGGUGUUGCCCCUCCUAUGAGGAUGGGCAGUGUCGAAAUGAAGGUGUUAAGCACGCCGCCUGGGAA